CUUUUCUACUUUAUGGAAAUUUUAACUUUUUUAUUAUAAAGGUAUUCAGCUGGUAUCAUGGUGCAAAGGAGGUUGCUGCCUCCCCUGCUUUGACCUCACUGUCCUUUGCAACUCUUGCACUGUCUCAUCCCAUCUGAAUGUCUGCUUCUUGGAGGACUCGAAAUAACACAUUUGUCAGGCCUCUGAGCCAAAGCUCAGCCAUUGUAACCCCAGCGACCUGCACAUAUACGUCCAGAUGGCCCACAGGAGCCAAGAAGUCUGGAGUAGCCGAAAAACCACAAAGAAGUGAAACAGACAGUUCCUGCCUUAACUAAUUAACCCACCUUACGACAUUCUACCAUUAAGACUUGUUCCUGCCCCGCCCCAACUGAUCGAUCGACCCUGUGACAUUCUUCUGGACAAUGAGUCCCAUGAUCUCUCCACCAUGCACCUUGUGACCCCCCGCCUCCCCUGCUGACAACAGAUAACCACCUUUAACUGUAGCUUUCCACUGCCUACCCAGGCCCUAUAAAGCUGCCCCUGUCCUAUCUCCCUUCACUGACUCUCUUU
rnacentral:lncRNA from 1 species